CCCUCUCCACCUUGCAACCGGGAAGGGACACACAGGAACUGUACAGGCUUUACUGGCAGCUGGAGCGGACAUUAAUGCACGAAACUUCGAUAAUCAGACUCCCCUUCAUAUGGCGGCAGAAAAUGGACACCCCGAGUGUGUCAGAGCACUGCUGAAGGCUGGAGCCAACACCGUCAUUAGAGACGAGAAUAAGAAGACAGCAGAGGAGCUUGCAGUACAAGAGGACGUGUUGCAGAUGUUCCAGUA